rnacentral:rRNA from 1 species
UAGGGAAUCUUCCACAAUGGGCGAAAGCCUGAUGGAGCAACGCCGCGUGUGUGAUGAAGGGUUCCGGCUCGUAAAACACUGUUGUAAGAGAAGAACAAGGGUGAGAGUAACUGUUCACCCCUUGACGGUAUCUAACCAGAAAGCCACGGCUAACUACGUGUCAG